UAUUUUGCUCCAUUCUUAAGAACACGAGCUGGCUUAGAAAGACCACCUCCUCUGGCAGAUCUGCAGAUUCUCUCCCAGCCCUUAGGCCACAAAGAAAGCAGCUAUCAUCUCAAGAACAUAGAUUAGAGAGGACGACUGUUGGUCACAUAUGUCUUUCCAGCCCCUCCAGCAGGUAACACCAUCCCUAGCUUCAACCUCUUUGAAAGACAUACAUACAAACAUUAGUAAGAGUGGCUUUUGAAAAAAAUAGGCUAUAUAUUCAGAAUCUGCUUGUUUAAUAAUAACAUAUUAUGGUAUAAAACCAUCUUUUGUCC
rnacentral:lncRNA from 1 species